AUUAUGGCUGCUGUUCCUCAAAAUAAUCUACAGGAGCAACUAGAACGUCACUCAGCCAGAACACUUAAUAAUAAAUUAAGUCUUUCAAAACCAAAAUUUUCGUAAGUGUUUUGAUUGGUUUGCUGUCACGUAGGCACUAACUUGCCACAUUGUACACAUGAGAUAUCUUCUCUUUAAACUCUCUCAUUGUACAGGUGAGGAAACGAAGCUGAGAGAUUCAUUGAUUUUCCCACUUUGCCAAUUAAUGGUAGAGUAUGUUUUAGCAGCACCAGAGGUUUCACUUUUAAAAAGAAAACAUCUUUAGAUAACAAUGUAUCUGUAACUAAUGUGUCAGUAGCAAAAACACCUGUAUUAAGAAAUAAAGAUGUUAAUGUUACCGAAGACUUUUCAUUCAGUGAACCUCUACCCAACACCACAAAUCAGCAAAGGAUCAAGGACUUCUUUAAAAAUGCUCCAGCAGGACAGCAAACACAGAGAGUUGAAUCAAAACCAUUAUUGCCAGAUUUCUUGCAGACUCCAAAGGAAGUUUUAUGCACUACCCAAAACACACCAACUGUAAAGAAAUCCUGGGAUACUGCUCUCAAGAGAUUAGAAUUUAGUUCUUCACCAGAUUCUUUAAGUACCAUCAAUGAUUGGGAUGAUAUGGAUGACUUUGAUACUUCUGAGACUUCAAAAUCAUUUGUUACACCACCCCAAAGUCACUUUGUAAGAGUAAGCACUGCUCAGAAAUCAAAAAAGGGUAAGAGAAACUUUUUUAAAGCACAGCUUUAUACAACAAACACAGUAAAGGCUGAUUUGCCUCCACCCUCCUCUGAAAGCGAGCAAAUAGAUUUGACUGAGGAACAGAAGGAUGACUCAGAAUGGUU
rnacentral:sRNA from 1 species